UACGUAGGUGGCAAGCGUUGUCCGGAUUGACUGGGCGUAAAGCGCGCGUAGGCGGACCUGCAAGUCGGGGGUGAAAGCCCGAGGCUCAACCUCGGAACUGCCUUCGAUACUGCGGGUCUCGAGUCCGGGAGAGGUGAGUGGAAUUCCUAGUGUAGAGGUGAAAUUCGUAGAUAUUAGGAAGAACACCAGUGGCGAAGGCGGCUCACUGGCCCGGUACUGACGCUGAGGCGCGAAAGCGUGGGGAGCAAACAGG
rnacentral:rRNA from 1 species